rnacentral:rRNA from 1 species
GACGAACGCUGGCGGCGUGCUUAACACAUGCAAGUCGAACGGAAAGGCCCUGCUUGCAGGGUACUCGAGUGGCGAACGGGUGAGUAACACGUGGGUGAUCUGCCCUGCACUUCGGGAUAAGCCUGGGAAACUGGGUCUAAUACCGGAUAGGAGCCAUUUUUAGUGUGAUGGUUGGAAAGUUUUUUCGGUGUAGGAUGAGCUCGCGGCCUAUCAGCUUGUUGGUGGGGUAAUGGCCUACCAAGGCGGCGACGGGUAGCCGGCCUGAGAGGGUGGACGGCCACAUUGGGACUGAGAUACGGCCCAGACUCCGACGGGAGGCAGCAGUGGGGAAUAUUGCACAAUGGGCGCAAGCCUGAUGCAGCGACGCCGCGUGGGGGAUGACGGCCUUCGGGUUGUAAACUCCUUCCGCUAGGGACGAAGCUUUUUGUGACGGUACCUAGAUAAGAAGCACCGGCUAACUACGUG